rnacentral:rRNA from 1 species
GUGCCAGCAGCCGCGGUAAUACGGAGGGGGCAAGCGUUGUUCGGAAUUACUGGGCGUAAAGGGCGCGCAGGCGGCUGCUCAAGUCAGGCGUGAAAGGCCUGGGCUCAACCCGGGAAUUGCGCUUGAGACUGGGCUGGCUUGAGUGCGGGAGAGGAUGGUGGAAUUCCCAGUGUAGAGGUGAAAUUCGUAGAUAUUGGGAAGAACACCGGUGGCGAAGGCGGCCAUCUGGACCGCAACUGACGCUGAGGCGCGAAAGCGUGGGGAGCAAACAGGAUUAGAUACCCUGGUAGUCC